rnacentral:rRNA from 1 species
CGCUGGCGGCACGCUUAACACAUGCAAGUCGAACGAAGAAAUUUCACCGUAGCUUGCUACACCGAGAUUCUUAGUGGCGGACGGGUGAGUAACACGUGAGCAAUCUGCCUUUCAGAGGGGGAUACCAGUUGGAAACGACUGUUAAUACCGCAUAACAUAAUUAACUCGCAUGAAUUAAUUAUCAAAGAUUUAUCGCUGAAAGAUGAGCUCGCGUCUGAUUAGAUAGUUGGUGAGGUAACGGCUCACCAAGUCGACGAUCAGUAGCCGGACUGAGAGGUUGAACGGCCACAUUGGGACUGAGACACGGCCCAGACUCCUACGGGAGGCAGCAGUGGGGAAUAUUGCACAAUGGGCGCAAGCCUGAUGCAGCGAUGCCGCGUGAGGGAAGAAGGUUUUAGGAUUGUAAACCUCUGUCUUCAGGGACGAUAAUGACGGUACCUGAGGAGGAAGCUCCGGCUAACUACGUG